AAGAGUAGGGCGGGACACGUGGUAUCCUGUCUGAAUAUGGGGGGACCAUCCUCCAAGGCUAAAUACUCCUGACUGACCGAUAGUGAACCAGUACCGUGAGGGAAAGGCGAAAAGAACCCCGGCGAGGGGAGUGAAAAAGAACCUGAAACCGUGUACGUACAAGCAGUGGGAGCACCUUUAUGGUGUGACUGCGUACCUUUUGUAUAAUGGGUCAGCGACUUAUAUUCUGUAGCAAGGUUAACCGUAUAGGGGAGCCGCAGGGAAACCGAGUCUUAACUGGGCGUUAAGUUGCAGGGUAUAGACCCGAAACCCGGUGAUCUAGCCAUGGGCAGGUUGAAGGUUGGGUAACACUAACUGGAGGACCGAACCGACUAAUGUUGAAAAAUUAGCGGAUGACUUGUGGCUGGGGGUGAAAGGCCAAUCAAACCGGGAGAUAGCUGGUUCUCCCCGAAAGCUAUUUAGGUAGCGCCUCGUGAAUUCAUCUUCGGGGGUAGAGCACUGUUUCGGCUAGGGGGUCAUCCCGACUUACCAACCCGAUGCAAACUACGAAUACCGAAGAAUGUUAUCACGGGAGACACACGGCGGGUGCUAACGUCCGUCGUGAAGAGGGAAACAACCCAGACCGCCAGCUAAGGUCCCAAAGUCACAGUUAAGUGGGAAACGAUGUGGGAAGGCACAGACAGCCAGGAUGUUGGCUUAGAAGCAGCCAUCAUUUAAAGAAAGCGUAAUAGCUCACUGGUCGAGUCGGCCUGCGCGGAAGAUGUAACGGGGCUAAA
rnacentral:rRNA from 1 species